rnacentral:rRNA from 1 species
AGGGCACCACCAGGAGUGGAGCCUGCGGCUUAAUUUGACUCAACACGGGAAAACUCACCCGGCCCGGACACUGGAAGGAUUGACAGAUUGAGAGCUCUUUCUUGAUUCAGUGGGUGGUGGUGCAUGGCCGUUCUUAGUUGGUGGAGCGAUUUGUCUGGUUAAUUCCGAUAACGAACGAGACUCUAGCCUACUAAAUAGAUCGUCGGCUUACAAACGCCGAUGAGACUUCUUAGAGGGACAGGCGGCGAUUCAGCCGCACGAAACAGAGCAAUAACAGGUCUGUGAUGCCCUUAGAUGUCCGGGGCCGCACGCGCGCUACACUGAAGUGAUCAGCGUGCAUUUUCAGCCUACUCUGCCAAGAGUGGGAAGCCCAAUGAACCUUCUUCGUGAUUGGGAUAGGGGAUUGUAAUUAUUCCCCUUGAACGAGGAAUUCCCAGUAAGCGCGAGUCAUAAGCUCGCGUUGAUUACAUCCCUGCCCUUUGUACGCACCGCCCGUCGCUACUACCGAUAGAAUGUUUU